UGGUGUUUGGCCCAUCCUCCUCUGCCAGCCCCUUAGAUCUGCUAAAACACCAUUUUCAAGCAAGCUAGAUAUUUUCUCCUCUAUCCUCUUCUAUCUCAUCUGGUCCUUAUCAUCUGCAAUAACAUUAUUAUCAGCCAGAGUCUUUGCAGCAAUCACUGCAGUGCGUGUCUGAGGCUCAGCAGACGUACAGUAGAGCUGCAAGACUUUUCUCCUGCAAUUCCCUUCCCAUUAAUUUCCAGCUAUUUGGUUUUCUCCAGCCCCAGAGCUGUUUAUCCUUGCUGUGAGCUCCUCGGCGGGCUGAUUCACCCCUUGGGUUGCGCCAGCUCGUGCGAGGGAGCCCGGAGCUCGCCAGCUGGCAGCCCCCCAGAACCAGAUGCGCUGGCCUGCAGGACGGAGGUCGGGCUGCCUGGGAGAGCCGCUCGCUUACCGCCGCCCCGGGGCUUUCUCCCGACGUGGGGCUGGGCGAGAACCUGGAGAGAACUGAAAGCGUCUCUGCAAAUAAUCCAGGAGAGAAAGCUAAAGUGAUGUUCUGCGGAUUGCACAUGACCACCACACGUGUUGCCCAGCAGAUGCAGCCAACAGGGUGUCAAGCGUCUUUGGACCAUGGGUGCUUCUCAUCACAGAUGACUUCACCUGCAAGGACUUGAACUGGGACUGUACUGGUGGGAAGGUGGAGAAUCCAGAUAUCUGCGCUCACCCUGGGCGGCUGUUUCUUCCAGAUGCAUGCUGUUGCUUCAGUUCCUUUGCUGGAUGGGGAUGCAAGAUUUCCAACAUUGAGUAAUAGCAGAAUAUUUCUUAUCUAGGGGGCUAGUUGUGGUUGGAGAUAAUUUUCCUCAAGUAUUCGCUCACACACAUUCUGCUGUACAGCUGGGAUGUUUGGAGAGGGUAAAAAGAAAAGCUCACAAACACGACUGAGUCAACAUUUGUUUUUGAAUGUUAAUGAAUGUCUGUGGGGGAGCAUUUCUUUGUGCUCCUGCUGUGUGAAGGAGCUCUGCUUGCAGGUCCCUAUCACAGGCAGCACCUCCAGGACACCUUGCCCUGAGGGCUGCCACCAAGGGCACCCAAAUAGCCAGAUGGCAUAGAGAAAUCAGAGGUAAAAUUGGUUGCUGUGGGAAUUUGUUACCUUAAGAGCAUUUGGGAUCUGACUGUAAGUGACCAGCCUUAGUGAAACCAAGGGUUUCAGUUUAGCAAAGGCAGCCCCAGGUUGGUGCUGUUAAUUUUGAAGUGUUGCAUCAGCCAUCCCUAGAAAAGCAUUAUUAUUGCAAGUAAACUGUUUCAUAGAUAUAUAUGAUCAGCUGAAAGCUC
rnacentral:lncRNA from 1 species